rnacentral:pre_miRNA from 1 species
UAAGGACGGUGUAGAUGUCGACAUGUGUAGUGGACGUACCUUCCAACAACGCGGAGUCGCACACGUAGCGCAGGAUGUCCAAG